AUACGGAGGAUGCGAGCGUUAUCCGGAUUUAUUGGGUUUAAGGGGUGCGUAGGUGGUAGAUUAAGUCAGCGGUGAAAGAUUGUCGCUCAACGAUAAAAUUGCCGUUGAUACUGGUUUACUUGAGUAUAGUUGAAGUAGGCGGAAUGCGUGGUGUAGCGGUGAAAUGCAUAGAUAUCACGCAGAACUCCGAUUGCGAAGGCAGCUUACUAAGUUAUAACUGACACUGAAGCACGGAAGCGUGGGUAUCAAACAGGAUUAGAUACCGUGGUUGUCCGCGGAGUAAACGAUGAUUACUAGCUGGUUGCGAUAUGCAGUAAGUGGCGCAGAGAAAGCGUUAAGUAAUGCACCUGGGGAGUACGCCGGCAACGGUGAAGCUCAAAGGAAUUGACGGGU
rnacentral:rRNA from 1 species